rnacentral:lncRNA from 1 species
CAUCUUACUGUUCAAAAUUUUUUUGAAUUUAUAUUAUGGAAAAAAUGUCACUAGUUUACACUUAUGUAGGCAUCUAAACUUGAACUUAACUGUGGACUUUGUCACUGUCCUUUUCUCUGACAGUCUUUUGGAUUUACUUACACAGAAAGAAUGUAGGCAUGUAGUCAAGAUGAUCAGAGAAAAGCAGAAGUGCAAUAGCAAAAAUAUUGACUCUGUGAUGGUUAGAAUUUUUGAUAUUUGGUCCUUAAAAUUGAC